rnacentral:rRNA from 1 species
UACGUAGGGGCCUAGCGUUGUCCGGAUUUAUUGGGCGUAAAGAGCUCGUAGGCGGUUCGGUAAGUCAGGUGUGAAAUCUCCACGCUCAACGUGGAGGCGCCACCUGAAACUGCCGUGACUAGAGUCCGGUAGGGGAGUGUGGAAUUCCCGGUGUAGCGGUGAAAUGCGCAGAGAUCGGGAGGAACACCAGUGGCGAAGGCGGCUACCUGGACCAGCACUGACACUGAGGCACGAAAGCGUGGGGAGCAAACAGG